GCGGACUCCCAACCACUGCACCACCAGGGAAGCCCUAGUCCUUUCUUUCUCCUUGAGAACAUCACACCUGAUCCCACCCCUCUCACCCCACCCUCUUCUCCACUGGACCAGAUCUUUAGAGAAAAGGCUGGCCCCCUCUCCUCCAAGACCAUUCUCCCUUAAAUAACUUCCCUCUCUUGUUUUUUCAGUGGUUCCCCUACUCCUCCGUCUUGGUUCCUACUCCGUGGCUUAGAAACAGCUUUAAAUCCCUCUUAACUUAAAAACAAACACAAAACAAAACAACUGCCCCUCUGUUUGUGCAGUUAUGCUAUAUAAAAACAACAACAACAACAACAAAAACCCUUGACAUUUUGAUGGCUUAUAGCAGAGAUCAACAAACUUUUUCCUUAAAGGGACAGGUAGUAAAUAUUUUAAGCUUUGUGGACCACAUAUAGUUUUCUGUUCCUAUUCACUUUGUUUUUCUUUACAACUCCUAAAAAAUGUAAAAGCCAUUCUUAGCUUGCAGACAGUACAAAAAGAGGCUGCAGGCUGGAUUUGCUUUUGAGAAACAAGUGUUUACUUUUCACUCAUGUCUCUGAGGCAGAAUAUAUCUGUCCCUCCCCCCCACGGGGAGGGGGUGUGGGUGUGGCCAUGUGCUGGCCUGGCCAAUGGAAUGUUAGCAAAGUGUGGCCUGAGGAGAACAUACCUUGAGUACCUGCUGGUCUAAGAAAGAUGAGAGACAUGUGGAGCAGACCUGGACCCAGAUCCCAGCUUGGAACCAUGCCAGCUUACAUUAGCCAAACCUCAGCCAACCUGUGAUGGGCAGUGUGGAUGACUGACUAUUUAAGUGUGAACAAGCUGGGGAAUUUGGUAGUUGUAGUUAUUUCUGUUUUGCUGGUGAAAAUCUUAGACUAGUGUUCCUGAAAGUGUGAUCAGGGACCACCUGCAAAGUGUGAUCAGAACACCUGGGAUACUUGCCACUCCCUCUUGGAGAGGUGGAGUCUAUUUCUUCACUUCCUUGAAUCCGGGCUGGCCUAUCACUGCUUUGACAAGAAGAAGAUCGUGGAAGUUAUGCUGUGCUAGUUAGUUCCAGGCCUGGCCUUUAAGAAGACUGGCAAUUUCUGCUUCUUUUCUCUUAGAACCCAGCAGACAUGCUGUGAGGAAGUCCAAGAAGCCACAUGGAAAGUCCAAAUGGAGGCCAAUUCAGGCUCCAGGACCAUCGUCCCAGCUGAGUUUCUGCCAAUGGUACCCACUUGCUAGGUAUGUGGUGAGCCAUCUUGGCAGUAGACCCUUCAGCCCGAUUGGUCCACCUCAGCUGACAGUACUUGGAGUCGAUAGGCGCUGCCUCGCAGAGUUGUGUCCAGGUGCAAUGCUGUGAGCAGAUCAAUGACAGUCGUGGCAUUCAUGCGUCAGCUUUGCUCUCAAAACAAUCCUAUAAAGCAGAUAUUAUUAGUAUUACCCCCACUCUGUGGAUGAGGGGCAGAGAUGAAAGAGAUAGGCAAAUUAUCCAAGAUUACACAGCUAGUAAGUGGAGAAGGCAUGAGAACACAGACUGUGUCCUGGGGUUGGUGCAUAUACCAAUUGGAGUCAGGUAUAUUAAUUAGGAAGUUGUGUGAUAUAAAACAGGAAGAUGGAUGGGUUGGGACUGAGUAAAGGAGGAACCCACAUGCCAAGAUAAAAAGUUAGCACUUCAUUUAAUAAUGGCCCUUUAAAAGUGGUCAUUGAAGGCUUUUGAGUAGAAGUGACAGGAUAAAAAGAACUUACAUAAGUGAUUGACAUUGGGUGGUUUGAAGGCACAAGGGGCCAUAAGCAGAUGGGUCAGCAGAGGGAUAGAAUUGUUCAGGAGGGAAGUGAUGGGGAUGCUGCCUAGGGUGGCAGCAGUGGGAAUGGAAAGACACAUGCCAAGACUUGAAAGGAAAACCAGUGUUACGAUCCAAUGACCAACGGUUCCAAAAAUUUGCAUCUGAGCGUCCCAAAGGAGAAUGGUUUAGGUGAUACCACUAAAGAAUUGGUAAUGCAGAAGGAGAGAAGUAUGUCUUAUGCACUCAGAAAGUUGUUAGUAGAAAUGGAUCAGAAUUGAGGAUGACAAAUUGAGUUUUAGCUUUGCUGAAACCGAAGAGCUGGCAAAGAAUGAAGAUGUGGAAAUCAUGGCCUCUGCCCUCAAACAAUUUAUAAUCCUGAGCUCUCUCUCUCUCUUACAUAUAUAUACACAACCACACAUUCAUACAUGAUACACAUUCAUACACGUACACCAGAUGGCAAGUAGAAGUAGUGCAUAAUAAAUAAUAAUAAAAAGAAAGAACUGCCAAAACGUUGGGUACUGAGAAUAAAUGCUAUGAGCGAUCAGGAAAGGGGAGAUCGAUGGCCCUGUGGCAUCCAAAGGGGUUACCAGUAGAACCAGAGGUGGGAUCUUCCUGUGAGACUCACUCAAAGACCAACAUCCCAGGGUGUAGAGGGACCGUGGGAAAGAAAGAUUAUCACGGCCAGUACACAUUGUUUGAAAACGUGAUUUUUAAUGACCAUCAAGUAUUCCAUCUCAUGAGUAACCACAAUUUAUUAAACUAUCGCUGUAAUACUGUACCUUGAUGAGGUUGAUAAUCUUGGCGAUUUUUUUAAAAAACAUUAAAAAAAUUAAUUAA